AAUGAACGCUGGCGGCAGGCCUAACACAUGCAAGUCGAACGGAUCCUUCGGGAUUAGUGGCGGACGGGUGAGUAACGCGUGGGAACAUACCCUUUGGUACGGAAUAGCCUCGGGAAACUGGGAGUAAUACCGUAUGUGGUCGAGAGACGAAAGAUUUAUCGCCAAAGGAUUGGCCCGCGUUGGAUUAGGUAGUUGGUGGGGUAAUGGCCUACCAAGCCGACGAUCCAUAGCUGGUUUGAGAGGAUGAUCAGCCACACUGGGACUGAGACACGGCCCAGACUCCUACGGGAGGCAGCAGUGGGGAAUCUUAGACAAUGGGGGAAACCCUGAUCUAGCCAUGCCGCGUGAUCGAUGAAGGCCUCAGGGUUGUAAGGAUCUUUCAGGUGGGAAGAUAAUGACUGUACCACCAGAAGAAGCCCCGGCUAACUCCGUGCCAGCCGCCGCAGUAA
rnacentral:rRNA from 1 species